rnacentral:lncRNA from 1 species
GUAAAAAUAAUGUUAUUAUAAUAAUGAAAGACCAUGACAUACAAAUACAUCGAUCUGAUACCAGAAUAUCAAUCCCCUUCCCAUAUUCACCCAGAUUUAUUUUAGCUUUACCAAGCUAAGCAAGAGUUGUAUCCCUUGUUCUGUCAAACUUCCGGUUUUCGUUUGAGUCGAACUACGUGUAUCUCGAAAUAUUUCUCUGGUCCGGCUGAUUUCGAGAUAACGAGAGUCAACUGUAUUGUCAAAA